UGAGUAACCUGUCCUCGGCACCGGGAUAGCCCCGGGGGAAACCCGGAUUAAUACCGGAUGGCCUUUCGAGUCUUCGGGCUCGUCAGAAAAGGUAGCUUCGGCCUCCGGCCGAGGAGGGACUCGCGGCGGAUUAGCUUGUUGGUGGGGUAACGGCUCACCAAGGCGACGAUCCGUAGCUGGUCUGAGAGGACGAUCAGCCACACUGGGACUGAGACACGGCCCAGACUCCUACGGGAGCAG
rnacentral:rRNA from 1 species